rnacentral:rRNA from 1 species
GCUUUACACAUGCAAGUUGAACGAAUUAAAGUUUUCGAAUUUUAGUUAAGUAGCGAACGGGUGAGUAAAACGUAAGAAUCUAUUUUUGGGUGAGGAAUAACUAAUGGAAACGUUAGCUAAUACCUUAUAAACUGNNAAGUGAAAAACUAAAAAUUGCCUAAAAGUGAGCUUGCGCCUGAUUAGCUUGUUGGUAAGAUAAUCGCUUACCAAAGCGACGAUCAGUAGUUGAUCUAAGAGGAUAAUCAACCACACUGGGACUGAGAUACGGCCCAGACCUCUACGGAGGGCAGCAGUGAGGAAUUUUCUGCAAUGGGCGAAAGCCUGAC